rnacentral:lncRNA from 1 species
CCCUAUGAACUAUUUUGGACUGGGGCUGGAACUAGCCUUCAUCCCUACUGCCAGAUGGGCUGAGCGUGAGGCUGGAAACGUGAACAGCUGGCACAGCAGAAGCUGGAGUAAUACUCAUUGCCACAAAGCUGGGCCUGCAGGAUCAAAUCACAGUUGGCCAGCUCUGGCUGGUCGACGCAGUCCCUGCCAGGGUCCCUGGGCUGGGCGGUGGGUGCUGCAGAACGACAGGGGAGAGAGAAGGUGGUGAGGAAGCUCUGUGUAUGCUGAAAAUUCUCACCUGCCAUUUCAUUUCCUUCAAAGGAACACAGCAUUAUAACUGCCAGAUUGAAAACGAAGUGCACUUACCCUGUAACCUUUUAACCAUACGUACAAACUCUAUGAGGGAUGAUGAUUUCUACCUGUUUCUUGGCCUCACUUCAACAUGCAGUGGUCCUCCCAUUAUUAUUUGUGGCCUCAGCCCACUGAAUAGCUCUUCCUAGACUCCCAAAUAUUUAUUGACUGGAUAAUUAAACAUCUCUUGAAGUUAACUCCUUAUGUUUGAGACCUGAAUUACUAAAUGACAACUGUUCUUGCCUCUGGAUUGGGAGAGCAGGUAGGAUCAGCCCCAAGUAAAAUUUUGAGUUAGCAAGAGCUCUUAUCUUUUCCC